UACAGAGGUCCCAAGCGUUGUUCGGAUUCACUGGGCGUAAAGGGUGCGUAGGUGGCCAGGUAAGUUCGGUGUGAAAGCUCGGAGCUUAACUCCGAAAUGGCAUUGAAUACUAUCUGGCUAGAGGGUCGGAGGGGAGACUGGAAUUCUCGGUGUAGCAGUGAAAUGCGUAGAUAUCGAGAGGAACACCAGUGGCGAAGGCGAAUCCCUGGAAAAUACCUGACACUGAGGCACGAAAGCUAGGGGAGCAAACAGG
rnacentral:rRNA from 1 species